AACAAACGCUGGCGGCGUGCCUAACACAUGCAAGUCGUACGAGAAAGUCGGCUUCGGCCGAUGAGUACAGUGGCGCACGGGUGAGUAGCGCGUGGGUAAUCUGCCCCCCGGUCAGGAAUAACCCGCCGAAAGGCGGGCUAAUACCCGAUAACACUGACGCUCCGCGGAGCGUCUUUCAAAGAAGGCCUCUGUUUACAAGCUUUCGCCGGAGGAUGAGCCCGCGUACCAUUAGCUAGUUGGCAGGGUAAUGGCCUACCAAGGCUACGAUGGUUAGCUGGUCUGAGAGGAUGGCCAGCCACACUGGAACUGAGACACGGUCCAGACUCCUACGGGAGGCAGCAGUGAGGAAUCUUGCGCAAUGGGGGAAACCCUGACGCAGCAACGCCGCGUGAGUGAGGAAGGUUUUCGGACUGUAAAGCUCUGUCGAGCGGGAAGAAGUGUACCAUGGCUAAUAUCCAUGAUAUUUGACGGUACCGCUAGAGGAAGCACCGGCUAAACUCCGUG
rnacentral:rRNA from 1 species